rnacentral:lncRNA from 1 species
ACGACUGAGCUCUGAUCCUAACCUGCAAAGUGAAGUUUCAAUUUCCACUUCCUGAGAAGGUCAGGUGUAUAGGUGUGAACCAAGUGCACGUCUAGUUCCCUUGGAGGCCAGAAAGAAGGCGGUGUCAGAUCCCCAGGAACCAUAGUUACAGAUGGUUGAUGUGGAAACUCAGAGAGGAUGCCACUGUUUUGAACUAUUUUGAAGGCACAGCCACCAGAGCUUUAGGGACAGGGUAUUUUAUCACAGCAACAGAAAUGAAACCAAAACAACUCCACAAUAAAAUUCUUGAGUUUCUUGGGGCCAAGAAGAUGACACGAUAAGAUAAAGACACUGGCCAAGCAUGACCUCCAGAGUUUGGCCCUUGCAUAAAGGAGAAAAUUAAUUCCUUCAGUUGUUCUCUGACCUCCACAUGCGUCCUGUAACAUGGGUGUAUGCAUACACAUAAACACACAUCCACACGUUGUUAAAUAAAUAAAAAAAAUAUGUUAACAGUU